GUGAAUCAUCGAAUUUUUGAACGCAAAUUGCACUCUCUUUGGAGAGUAUGCCUGUUUGAGGGUCAGUAUUAACAAAAAAUCGGUUUGGUUGCAAAUUGUGACGUUUCCGGAGUUUGGGCUAUCUUAACUUUUUUGGUUAAGGGGCUUAAAAUUGACCUUAUUUGCGCAUUUUUAGACGUACAUAAAUUUUUUUUUAUUUGUUUUUUUUUAAUGCCAAAAUUUUUUUUGAUUCCGUUAC
rnacentral:misc_RNA from 1 species